rfam:Clostridium hiranonis DSM 13275 Scfld3 genomic scaffold, whole genome shotgun sequence.
AACCAAGGUAGAGGCGCUAUUGUUCAAUAGUAUCUAGAGGAGUUGGCAGACGUUGAAUUUAGAGAAAGGGGAUAUAGCCGAAGAUAGAAUGUAUGGCAAUAAUUCUUUCUGGGCCUGUAUAUAACAUAUGCAGGACUGUCGCUUUAAUAAGUGUUGAGCUACAAGGUUA